rnacentral:lncRNA from 1 species
CUACAACGUGGAUGUCGGAGAUAUUCUUGUUUAAGUUUAUGAAAGUGGUAGGCCUUUUACAGAUGAGUUCGCUAUUUAAGCAUUCGUUUAAAUGACAUUUAAACAGUUCAUUUAAUAAAAAGUACUUAAACGAUUCAAUAAUUGCACAACAUUCUCUAAUGGUACAAAAAAUUAUGUACAUUAUUUCAUGUGACAAUAUAUGGGUCAUCAUGGUGACUUUGUUUACAAACUUUAACAUGCAAUACAAUGUGCACUCACAUUCAAAGUUUGAAAAGUAAAAUUUACAAUAAUAACAGUUUAAAAAGGUAGAAAUGUACAAAGACGAAAAGUUGUGUAGAAUAAAUAUACAGGUAUAUACAAUAACAUAAUUUAGCUGUUUAAUUGAAAAUAAAUUCUGUAGUAUAUUACAGUAGUGAAUAAUAGUUGUUUUCCUAUUUAUUGUAAUAAUGAUCUGACAAUAAAUGACAAAAAGACAGUAACCUGUUGGGAAUAUUAUGAACAAAAUCAGACUGAAUUUGUUUUGCUUUUAAGCUUUGUUUGAAAUAGAAUUUUUCUCUCUCUUUUAGGUUUGAUAUUAUUUGAUGAUGAAUGGUGUGACCAUUACAGUGACAAGUAGUUGAAUGACUUUGAGAAUUUAUCUUUAUGGAAGAUAACGAACAGUAUAAGAAGAUGCUGUCCAAAUUUACAUAUAAACUUAUGAAAAAACUAAAAAUAGAUAUGUACAAAUUCAUGUUUUUUUUUUUAUAGUUUUUUUUUAAGAUUUUAUAUUAAAAAG